rnacentral:rRNA from 1 species
UUGCUCUUCAACGAGGAAUCCCUAGUAAGCGCAAGUCAUCAGCUUGCGUUGAUUACGUCCCUGCCCUUUGUACACACCGCCCGUCGCUACUACCGAUUGAAUGGCUCAGUGAGGCGUUCGGACUGGCCCAGAGAGGUGGGAAACUACCACUCAGGGCCGGAAAGUUCUCCAAACUCGGUCAUUUAGAGGAAGUAAAAGUCGUAACAAGGUCUCCGUUGGUGAACCAGCGGAGGGAUCAUUACCGAGUUUACAACUCCCAAACCCAAUGUGAACAUACCCCAAUGUUGCCUCGGCGGGACCGCCCCGGCGCCCUCACCGGCCCGGAACCAGGCGCCCGCCGCAGGACCCAAACCUCUGUUUUACUUUAGUAUUCUCCUCUGAGUGGAUUUUACAAAUAAAUCAAAACUUUCAACAACGGAUCUCUUGGCUCUGGCAUCGAUGAAGAACGCAGCGAAAUGCGAUAAGUAAUGUGAAUUGCAGAAUUCAGUGAAUCAUCGAAUCUUUGAACGCACAUUGCGCCCGCCAGCAUUCUGGCGGGCAUGCCUGUCCGAGCGUCAUUUCAACCCUCAGGCUCCCGCGCCUGGCGUUGGGGAUCGGCCCUCACCGGCCGGCCCCGAAAUACAGUGGCGGCCCCGCCCGUGUACCUCUGCGUAGUAGCACAACCUCGCAGCUGGGAGCGGCGGCGGCCACGCCGGAAAACCCCCGACUUCUGAAAGUUGACCUCGGAUCAGGUAGGAAUACCCGCUGAACUUAAGCAUAUCAAUAAGCGGAGGAAAUCUGAANUUCGUCGACA